GCAUGGUCUUAGCUUGCUAAGACUGAUGGCGACCGGCGCACGGGUGCGUAACGCGUAUGCAACUUGCCUCGCAGAGGGGGAUAACCCGUCGAAAGACGGACUAAUACCGCGUACACUUACAGGAGGGCAUCCUCCAGUAAGGAAAUGAAAUUCGCUGUGAGAUAGGCAUGCGUCCCAUUAGCUAGUUGGUGAGGUAACGGCUCACCAAGGCGACGAUGGGUAGGGGAACUGAGAGGUUGAACCCCCACACUGGUACUGAGACACGGACCAGACUCCUACGGGAGGCAGCAGUGAGGAAUAUUGGUCAAUGGGCGAGAGCCUGAACCAGCCAAGUCGCGUGAAGGAUGACUGUCUUAUGGAUUGUAAACUUCUUUUAUACGGGAAUAACAAGAGUCACGUGUGGCUCCCUGCAUGUACCGUAUGAAUAAGCAUCGGCUAACUCCGUGCCAGCAGCCGCGGUAAUACGGAGGAUGCGAGCGUUAUCCGGAUUUAUUGGGUUUAAAGGGUGCGUAGGCGGCCUGUUAAGUCAGCGGUGAAAUCUAGGAGCUUAACUCCUAAAUUGCCAUUGAUACUGGCGGGCUUGAGUGUAGAUGAGGUAGGCGGAAUGCGUGGUGUAGCGGUGGAAUGCAUAGAUAUCACGCAGAACUCCGAUUGCGAAGGCAGCUUACUAAGGUACAACUGACGCUGAAGCACGAAAGCGUGGGUAUCAAACAGGAUUAGAUACCCUGGUAGUCCACGCAGUAAACGAUGAUAACUGGGCGUAUGCGAUAUACAGUAUGCUCCUAAGC
rnacentral:rRNA from 1 species